rnacentral:rRNA from 1 species
AGUGAACGCUGGCGGCAGGCCUAAUACAUGCAAGUCGAACGGCAGCACAGCAGAGCUUGCUCUGUGGGUGGCGAGUGGCGGACGGGUGAGGAAUACAUGGGAAUCUGCCCAGUCGUGGGGGAUAACGUAUGGAAACGUACGCUAAUACCGCAUGCGCCCUACGGGGGAAAGUCGGGGACCGCAAGGCCUGACGCGAUUGGAUGAGCCCAUGUUCGAUUAGCUAGUUGGCGGGGUAAAGGCCCACCAAGGCGACGAUCGAUAGCUGGUCUGAGAGGAUGAUCAGCCACACUGGAACUGAGACACGGUCCAGACUCCUACAGGAGGCAGCAGUAGGGAAUAUUGGACAAUGGGGGCAACCCUGAUCCAGCCAUGCCGCGUGAGUGAAGAAGGCCCUCGGGUUGUAAAGCUCUUUUGUCCGGAAAGAAAGCAUCUGGUUAAUACCCGGGUGUUCUGACGGUACCGGAAGAAUAAGCACCGGCUAA